rnacentral:lncRNA from 1 species
UCCCAGCUCGCGCCGCCCGAUCCCAGAGGUCGUCGUCUCUUUCUCCUCAGCUCCACCCACGCCAAGCGCGCGCGCCGGACGCAUCCGCACCAGCAGCAGAGCAGAGAUGGCCGCCCUCGCCGCCUCCUCCACGGCCGCCUUCGCCGCCAAGCCGCGCCUGCCCCGCGCGCGCCUCUCCGUGGCCUGCUCCGCCACCGGCGGCGACGGCAGCAACGGCAGCAGCGUCUCGCUCGCCUCCUCCGUCAAGACCUUCUCCGCCGCGCUGGCGCUGUCCUCCGUCCUCCUCUCCUCCGCCGCCACCUCCCCUCCGCCGGCCGCCGCCGACAUCGCCGGCCUCACCCCGUGCAAGGAGUCCAAGGCGUUCGCCAAGCGCGAGAAGAACUCGAUCAAGAAGCUCACCACCUCGCUCAAUAAGUACGCCCCCGACAGCGCCCCCGCCCUCGCCAUCAACGCCACCAUCGAGAAGACCAAGCGCCGCUUCGAGAACUACGGCAAGUUCGGCCUGCUCUGCGGCGCCGACGGCCUGCCGCACCUCAUCGUCAGUGGCGACCAGCGGCACUGGGGCGAGUUCAUCACCCCGGGCCUGCUCUUCCUCUACAUCGCCGGGUGGAUCGGGUGGGUCGGCAGGAGCUACCUCAUCGCCAUCAGCGGCGAGAAGAAGCCCGCCAUGAGGGAGAUCAUCAUCGACGUCGAGCUCGCGUCGCGGCUCCUCCCCAGGGGGUUCAUCUGGCCCGUUGCAGCCUACCGCGAGCUCAUCAACGGAGACCUCGUCGUCGACGACAAGGACAUCGGCUACUACUAAGCGCGCCUGCAUGGCUGGUGGUGAGGCAAAGCAUCCAAUCCAUGGCUCAUGAUGAACAGUGUGCUUCUUGUUUGUUCAGCUGAUGAUAAAUAAUGGAAGAUUAAAAUGCCUUGUGUUCUUGUUUGCUUUGUUGCAGCUGGGCAGCACUGCGUGGUGGAAGCAGCUGGCUUUGUGGUGUAGGAGCUGAUAGGAUGAUGGAGGAAAGGAAGCUCUGUUGUACUUAAGAAACUGGAUGAAGCCUUGUAUAACUGUACCUCUCUCUUAUGUGUAUUCACCUUCUUGAAAAUUCUUGAGAACCAUUUUCAUUUUUGCAUUGCGUUGCCAUUUUGCAUAUUAUAGCCGUCAGUGCAGAGGUAUCAGUUCUCCAUUAAUUAGAGCAAAAAAGCAGAGAAGCUCGAGUGUUCAACUAGAGGGAAACAUCGAGCUGCCAGAUUGGACUGA